CUUGGUCAUUUAGAGGAAGUAAAAGUCGUAACAAGGUUUCCGUAGGUGAACCUGCGGAAGGAUCAUUAUUGAUUUUUAAAGAUGUGCUGGCACUCCUUCACCGGUUUGCAUGUGCACUCUGCAAAAUCUCCUUCUCUUACCCCACUGUGCACACCCAAGUAGACAAACAGAGUUACAGAGCAAUCUGUGUAAUUCCUGAUUUGCCUAUGUUUUUAUCAAACACCAAUAACAAUAUCAGAAUGAUCUAUAUAGUAAGCUUUUAACAAGCUGAAAUUUAAUACAACUUUCAACAAUGGAUCUCUUGGUUCUCGCAUCGAUGAAGAACGCAGCGAAUUGCGAUAUGUAAUGUGAAUUGCAGAAUUCGGUGAAUCAUCGAAUCUUUGAACGCACCUUGCACCCUCUGGCAUUCCGGAGGGUAUGCCUGUUUGAGUGUCAUUAAUCUCUCAACGCAAGAAACUUUGUCUUCUUGUGCUUGGAUAUUGAAGGUUUUGCUGGCGCAAACAACCGUCAGCUCCUUUUAAAUGUAUUAGCAGAGCAGUAUGGGACUGGCCUCGGUUUGAUAAGAAACUUUAUCUAUGCUGUCGCUGGGUUUUCCUCUUUGUGCUCAGCUUCAAAUUGUCUUCGGACUGUCUCUUGAGGCAACAAAAUUUCUAUUGAUCGACCUCAAAUCAGGUAGGACUACCCGCUGAACUUAAGCAUAUCAAUAAGCGGAGGA
rnacentral:rRNA from 1 species